UGGGGAAUCUUGGACAAUGGGGGCAACCCUGAUCCAGCGAUGCCGCGUGGGUGAAGAAGGCCUUCGGGUUGUAAAGCCCUUUAGGCGGGGAAGAAGGAUAUGGGAUGAAUAAUCCUGUAUUUUGACGGUACCCGCAGAAUAAGCACCGGCAAACUCUGUGCCAGCAGCCGCGGUAAUACAGAGGGUGCGAGCGUUAAUCGGAUUUACUGGGCGUAAAGGGCGCGUAGGCGGUUGUAUGAGUGUGAUGUGAAAGCCCCGGGCUUAACCUGGGAAGUGCAUCGCAAACGAUACGACUGGAGUAUAUGAGAGGGUGGCGGAAUUUCCGGUGUAGCGGUGAAAUGCGUAGAGAUCGGAAGGAACGUCAAUGGCGAAGGCAGCCACCUGGCAUAAUACUGACGCUGAGGCGCGAAAGCGUGGGGAGCGAACAG
rnacentral:rRNA from 1 species